GAUGAACGCUGGCGGCGUGCCUAAUACAUGCAAGUCGAACGCAUAGCGAAAGGUGCUUGCACCUUUCAAGUGAGUGGCGAACGGGUGAGUAACACGUGGACAACCUGCCUCAAGGCUGGGGAUAACAUUUGGAAGCAGAUGCUAAUACCGAAUAAAACUUAGUGUCGCAUGACACAAAGUUAAAAGGCGCUUCGGCGUCACCUAGAGAUGGAUCCGCGGUGCAUUAGUUAGUUGGUGGGGUAAAGGCCUACCAAGACAAUGAUGCAUAGCCGAGUUGAGAGACUGAUCGGCCACAUUGGGACUGAGACACGGCCCAAACUCCUACGGGAGGCUGCAGUAGGGAAUCUUCCACAAUGGGCGAAAGCCUGACGGAGCAACGCCGCGUGUGUGAUGAAGGCUUUCGGGUCGUAAAGCACUGUUGUAUGGGAAGAACAGCUAGAAUAGGAAAUGAUUUUAGUUUGACGGUACCAUACCAGAAAGGGACGGCUAAAUACGUG
rnacentral:rRNA from 1 species